rnacentral:rRNA from 1 species
AGCUCCAAUAGCGUAUAUUAAUGUUGUUGCAGUUAAAAAGCUCGUAGUUGAAUUUCUGGGUAGUCCUCUUCGUCUGCCUUCACGGGUGUGUACGUUGCCUAGGGCUAUUCAUCCUUCUGAAGAACCUAUGUGGCAUUCAGUUGUCAUGUACGGGGAUCAGAUACUUUACCUUGAAAAAAUUAGAGUGUUUCAGGCAGGCAAUCGCCGGAAUACAUUAGCAUGGAAUAAUUGAAUAGGACUCUCAGUCUUAUUUGUUGGUUUUGUGGACUGAAGUAAUGAUUAAUAGGGAUAGUUGGGGGCAUUAGUAUUUAAUUGUCAGAGGUGAAAUUCAUGGAUUUGUUAAAGACUAACUUAUGCGAAAGCAUUUGCCAAGGAUGUUUUCAUUAAUCAAGAACGAAAG